GGGGGUAUAGCUCAGUUGGUAGAGCAGCUGACUCUUAAUCAGUAGGUCCAAGGUUCGAAUCCUUGUGCCCCUACCA
rnacentral:tRNA from 1 species